UACGUAGGGGGCAAGCGUUGUCCGGAAUCAUUGGGCGUAAAGAGCGUGUAGGCGGCCCGGUAAGUCCGCUGUGAAAGUCCAGGGCUCAACCCUGGGAUGCCGGUGGAUACUGUCGGGCUUGAGUACGGAAGAGGCGAGUGGAAUUCCUGGUGUAGCGGUGAAAUGCGUAGAUAUCGUGAGGAAGACCAGUGGCGAAGGCGGGUCUCUGGACAGUUCCUGACGCUGAGGCGCGAAGGCCAGGGGAGCAAACGGG
rnacentral:rRNA from 1 species